AUUGAACGCUGGCGGCAGGCCUAACACAUGCAAGUCGAGCGGAUGAAGGUAGCUUGCUACCUGAUUCAGCGGCGGACGGGUGAGUAAUGCCUAGGAAUCUGCCUGGUAGUGGGGGACAACGUUUCGAAAGGAACGCUAAUACCGCAUACGUCCUACGGGAGAAAGUGGGGGAUCUUCGGACCUCACGCUAUCAGAUGAGCCUAGGUACGAUUAGCUAGUUGGUGAGGUAAAGGCUCACCAAGGCGACGAUCUGUAGCGGGUCUGAGAGGAUGAUCCGCCACACUGGAACUGAGACACGGUCCAGACUCCUACGGGAGGCAGCAGUGGGGAAUUUUGGACAAUGGGGGCAACCCUGAUCCAGCCAUGCCGCGUGAGUGAAGAAGGCCUUCGGGUUGUAAAGCUCUUUCGGCCGGGAAGAAGGUCAGUAGCUUAAUACGUUGCUGAUUUGACGUUACCGACAGAAUAAGCACCGGCUAACUCUGUGCCAGCCGCCGCCGUAACAC
rnacentral:rRNA from 1 species